UACGUAGGGCGCAAGCGUUGUCCGGAAUUAUUGGGCGUAAAGAGCUCGUAGGCGGUCUGUCGCGUCGGAUGUGAAAGCCCGGGGCUUAACCCCGGGUCUGCAUUCGAUACGGGCAGGCUGGAGUUCGGUAGGGGAGAUCGGAAUUCCUGGUGUAGCGGUGAAAUGCGCAGAUAUCAGGAGGAACACCGGUGGCGAAGGCGGAUCUCUGGGCCGAUACUGACGCUGAGGAGCGAAAGCGUGGGGAGCGAACAGG
rnacentral:rRNA from 1 species